CUGAGCUCUAGAGGCGCCAAACUCUAGAGCGCCUCCGCCCAGCUGAUACUCGAGCGAACUCCUAUAUCAUCAUGUGUUCCUAUUAACAAAUCUUUCAAAUCCCGGCUAGAAUGGAGAGUUUCAGGCUAUUCCAACGGGAGCAAGCAAAGAAAAACUAUGUCUGCUGCUUUUACUAUUCGAGGUACGCCGUAAAUGCACAUUUACGCUGUUCUUGAUUGUAUUCUCGUUUGGCACGUCAUUCUCUCCAUUACGUGGGUCCGCGUCUCUUCGUUUUGGCAUCAUGGCAUCCACAUCUAAAAACCAAGCAGAAAUUAUACACAAGAGGAAUAUUAAAAAAAAUUAGAGCUAACAGAAAAGAGGAAAGCAGAUAUAAAAGAAGAUUUUGAUUUAUUUGAUCCGAAUGGCAUUGGAAAAAUUGUUAAGCUUAAAACUGCUAUUAAAUCUCUAUGCAUGGAACCAACAAAAAAGGAACUGAAGAGAAUUAUAACAGAGAAAUGUGUUGAUCCACAGAGAACACUGGCAUCUACAUCUAAAAAGCAAGACAGUGGUACUACCUGCAAAAAGAAUAUGAUAACAAUUGAAUUAACAGAGAGAGAAACAGACAUGAAAGAAGCUUUUGUGAUUUGUUGCAUCCAGAUAGUAUUGAAACAUUCGCACUAAGGAGCUUAAAGUUUGCUUGAUGUAAAAAAUCUUUGUAUCCGUAAAGGAAAAAAAUUCAAUUAUGUAUUGUAUUAAUUUCUAUUGGAA